rnacentral:lncRNA from 1 species
GUUGGCUUCCGUGGGGGGAGGGGCGGCGAGGCGAGGCGCGGCCCGGCGGCUGUGCACGCGCUCUGCUGGGCACGUGGGGCCCCUUCGUCCCCGGCGUCCGGGCGCCUGGUCCCAGCCCCCACCUUGGCCUCCGUCCGGCGGCUGCGUCCGCGACGCAGAGAGACUCGAGCGAGAGUCACCCGCCCCGAGCAAGACAAUCCCAGAGAGAUGAAUGAAGUGAAUGACCCAAGGUUACACAGGAUGGAACCUAUAUCUUCUGAUUUCUCUACUGGCCUGCACUCCACGUUCUGAGGAGGAGUCCUUGAAGCUACUGAGAUAAUGGAACAAUGGAGUAGAUAGUCCAUUAUAACUCAUCUGGGAUUCUUCUCAACUUCAAGUGACCACAGGUGGAAACAUGGUCUGGUAACACCACGCUUCCGGAUGUGAUUGUGGAGCUGGAUUGCUUAACCUGGGCUAAGUCAUUUAUCUUCCUGUGUCCCUCAGUUCUUCAUGGGCUGCAGAAGUGUUAAGAGUGCCUGCUUGUCUUCGAGAGGACCAGAGAUCAAUUCCCAGCAUCCAUCCCUGGAAGCUACAGGGAAUUCAACACUCUUCCUGACUUCCUCAAACACCUGCACACAUAUGGCUUAUAGACACACAGGGAAAGAAGUAAAGGA